UACGUAGGGUGCAAGCGUUAAUCGGAAUUACUGGGCGUAAAGCGUGCGCAGGCGGUUUUGUAAGUCUGUCGUGAAAUCCCCGGGCUCAACCUGGGAAUUGCGAUGGAGACUGCAAGGCUAGAAUCUGGCAGAGGGGGUAGAAUUCCACGUGUAGCAGUGAAAUGCGUAGAGAUGUGGAGGAAUACCGAUGGCGAAGGCAGCCCCCUGGGAUAACACUGACGCUCAUGCACGAAAGCGUGGGAGCAAACGAGG
rnacentral:rRNA from 1 species